ACUCCUACGGGAGGCAGCAGUGGGAGUAUUGCAUGCAAUGGCGGCAAGCCUGAUGCAGCCAUGCCGCGUGUAUGAAGAAGGCCUUCGGGUUGUAAAGUACUUUCAGCAGUGAGGAAGGUGGAUAUGUUAAUAGCAUAUUCAUUUGACGUUAGCUGCAGAAGAAGCACCGGCUAACUCCGUGCCAGCAGCCGCGGUAAUACGGAGGGUGCGAGCGUUAAUCGGAAUUACUGGGCGUAAAGCGCAUGCAGGUGGUUUGUUAAGUCAGAUGUGAAAGCCCGGGCUCAGCCUCAGC
rnacentral:rRNA from 1 species